rnacentral:rRNA from 1 species
AUUGAACGCUGGCGGCAGGCCUAACACAUGCAAGUCGAGCGAGCGGCGGACGGGUGCGUAAUGUCUGGGCAACUGCCUGAUGGAGGGGGAUAACUACUGGAAACGGUAGCUAAUCCCGCCUACCAUCAGACGUGCCCAGAUGGGAUUAGCUAGUAGGUGGGGUAACGGCUCACCUAGGCGACGAUCCCUAGCUGGUCUGAGAGGAUAACCAGCCAAACUGGAACUGGGACACGUGCCGGACUCCUACGAGAGGCAGCAGUGGGAAAUAUUGCACAAGGGGCGCAAGCCUGAUGCAGCCAUGCCGCGUGUGUGAAGAAGGCCUUCGGGUUGUAAAGCACUUUCAGCGGGGAGGCGUUACCCGCAGAAGAAGCACCGGCUAACUCCGUGCCAGCAGCCGCGGUAAUUC